GUGAAUCAUCGAAUUUUUGAACGCAAAUUGCACUUUUUGGUAUUCCGGAAAGUAUGCCUGUUUGAGGGUCAGUACAAUAAAAAUCGGUGAUGUUGCUGCUUUUUGAGGUGAGGCGCUGGCUUUGAGUUGUCUUACUUUAGGUUAUGUGAUUUAAAAUUUUGCAUGUUUUUCGAUUGAAUUUAAAUUUCUUACGCACGUUUGAGAUUU
rnacentral:misc_RNA from 1 species